rnacentral:lncRNA from 1 species
CCUAACUUCAUGUGCCAAGGUGGUGACUUCACCGCCGGAAACGGCACCGGCGGUGAAUCAAUCUAUGGGGCUAAGUUUGCCGAUGAGAACUUCGUGAAGAAGCACACUGGACCUGGUGUGCUUUCCAUGGCUAAUGCCGGUCCUGGGACUAAUGGAUCUCAGUUCUUUGUCUGCACUGUUAAGACCGAAUGGCUUGACGGGAAACAUGUCGUUUUCGGCCAGGUUGUUGAAGGGAUGGACGUGGUGAAGGCAAUUGAGAAGGUUGGAUCUGGAAAUGGCAGGACUUCGAAGCCUGUUGUUGUUGCUGACUGUGGUCAACUCUCUUAGAGUCCCUUGGUUGACAU